UUCAGUCAUUUUGUAUUACAAACGGGAAAUUGAUGCCCCAACACCCGAUUGGGCUGUCAAUUUCCCGUGCGUGAUACAAAAUGACUGAAAAACGGCAAACUUCGCAUGGCUAUAUUAUCCGCAUUUUACAACAUUUCGCAACGAAACUUUGGAAUAUUACUAAUUUUGUGAUGCUCUUUCAAGCUGCGAUGAAAUUUUUGUCUAGAUCAAAAUUUAGUCUAUAUAAUGCAAAUGGUCAAUUGGCAUCCCACGGUGCGCAAACGGAGACUGAAUCUGUGCGAGCAUAUGGACAUGGUCACUUGUUUUGUAAACAUUACUUAAAAGCACAUUAAUAAUUCAUGAAGAAAACACAAAGAAAAAUCAUAAUUUUUUGUAAUCAUAAUAAAUCAGUGCAGGCUUUGAU